UGGGGAAUAUUGCACAAUGGAGGGAACUCUGAUGCAGCGACGCCGCGUGAACGAAGAAGGCUUUCGAGUCGUAAAGUUCUUUUAUAUGGGAAGAUAAUGACGGUACCAUAAGAAAAAGCCCCGGCUAACUACGUGCCAGCAGCCGCGGUAAUACGUAGGGGGCUAGCGUUGUCCGGAAUCACUGGGCGUAAAGGGUUCGCAGGCGGAAAUGCAAGUCAGGUGUAAAAGGCAGUAGCUUAACUACUGUAAGCAUUUGAAACUGCAUAUCUUGAGAAGAGUAGAGGUAAGUGGAAUUUUUAGUGUAGCGGUGAAAUGCGUAGAUAUUAAAAAGAAUACCGGUGGCGAAGGCGACUUACUGGGCUCAUUCUGACGCUGAGGAACGAAAGCGUGGGUAGUAAACAGG
rnacentral:rRNA from 2 species